ensembl:lncRNA
UCAAUGUGUCCAUAUACAGGAUGUUGUUUGUUUGGAGACAAACUCUAUGGGCUCAAAAUGUGGUCAUAAAUAUUUUGUACUUGUAAAUCAGGAUUUGUAUGUGUAAAAAAGAUUUGUGUGUGGACUUAGCCAAAAAAAAAACCCUGCAAGUUACAAGUACAAAUUUUGACCCUAUUUUUCUUCCUUUCAUCUGAUUGGUCAAUGUCAUGUCAAUCACAAAUGUAACAAUCCAAUCAGAGAACAGAUGGGUUUGGCUGUCGGAGGGGCGCUUUUUUUGAACUGCAGGUCCUUGAAGGGUAGCAGCUGGGUCCCCUAACUUCCAGUAGCUGUUGAAAGGAUAAAGUUGUGGUACAUCAGUGGUUAGAAACACCAUUAUUACUUUAGGAUUAGUUUAACACAAAGUCAGGGCUGACCCGGGACCAUGGCUGUGAGUCACAGUGUGCAGCAUAAAAGUCCUUUCACAUCAGACGCAGGAUGUGCUGCUAAUGCUAACUGCUAACUAAAAGCAAAGGAUCCAGAAUUUGUUGCUGCUGAGCUCUGUGGGUUUUUGCAGCAGCUCUACCUGUGGUCCCCACAUGCUUCAAAAGAUCCACCAUCAUCCCUGUGCCCAAGAACAGCAAACCCUCAUCCCUGAACGACUACCGGCCAGUUGCACUGACCUCGGUAGUAAUGAAGGUGUUUGAGAGGCUGCUGAAGAACAUCAUCUCCUCCUCCAUCCCAGACACCACAGAUCCGCUGCAGUUCGCAUACAGAUCCAACAGAUCCACAGAGGAUGCCAUCGCCCACGUCCUACACACCACUCUCAGCCACGUGGACAAGAAACAGGAACUCAGGUGGUGAGGGUGGGCAGGUGCUUCUCCAACAGCAUCACCAUCAACACAGGAGCACCUCAGGGAUGUGUCCUCUCGCCACUGCUCUAC